rnacentral:lncRNA from 1 species
UGGCUCGUGGCUUUAAUCUCUGCAUAACAUCAAAGAGCUGUUUGGCAGCAGACGUUGCAGAAUAAUUACUGCAAAUUUAGUGGUGGGGUUCAAAAAUGGGUAAAAACCUCUCAAGGUCAGCUAGCGUCAACGGUCCUAACUGCUAACAAAUGAGCUAAAGCUUGUAGCCAGAAAUGACUGAUGUGGACCCGUUAGCCUGCCGCUAGUAGCCGCUAACAUCAAAGAAAUAGUAAAAAAAAAAAAGCAAAGGGAGUGUGUUGGGAGCGUUCUGAGGAAUGAGAGGAAGAUGUGGCCAAAAUGGUUCUGUGUCAUCAGAAACGGACCCACGGGCUGGUACCAGGUGUUGGUACCGGUGGGCGGAGCCGCGGCCGUGAAACUGACACUCUGUGAUCGUCCUCAGGAAAAUCACCUGUUGUCUUCACCCGAGACGUCCUGACAGGACCCGCCGUCCACUGUCAACGGGAUGUCCCAAGAUUCCCAACCAUUUUUCCAGACGUGUCCACAUAUAAACCAGCUGUCCCUGAACGCACCACCGCUCCGAUCUCUUCUUAUCUGGCUGCUGUUUUCAACAACAUCAACCUUGUUUUCCACCCAGAGUUUCGAUCAAUUGACCUUUUUCUCCCUGGGUGACCCCAGAUGCCCCCACCACACACACACACACACACACACACACACACACACACACACACACACACACACGCGCGCGCACACACACACACACACACACAAGCACACCAUGUCUUUGUCAAUGACGAUGACGUCCAUAUGUUUAUGUACCAAUGCUGCAUCGAGGGGGGUGAUGGGAGGACUGGAGGAAGGUGAAGAAGCAAAGCUGUUGUGUUUUCGUCGCUUCUUUCGCAGUGAGCAGCCGAGGAGGAGGAGGAGGUGGAGGAGGAGGAGGAGGAGGAGGAGGAGGAGGAGACGCUUGUCCCCCUGGAGGACAGGAGACAAAUGAGUUUCCUUGCGGGUCCCAGCUGAAUGCAGGCGAAGACAAGGUACAGCCCUGGACAAGUCGCCAGCUCAUAUCAUUUGGGUGUUUGGUACCUUGCUCAAGGGCACCACGGCAGCACCCUGCUACCGGGGCUUGAACCAAGAACCUUCUGUUUCUCUAACCCAGUCCUCUCCAGAUUAGCUACCACCACCUCCGCUAACACUGUUAGCAUUAAAUACCCUAUUUUACCCAAACACUGAGGCGGUUAUCAGGGAUUUUACCGUAAACGCAGCAGUUGUUUUACACAAUAAUUGCUUAAG